GCUGGGACAACUCAGUUGGUACAGCAUGGGACUCUUAAUUUCAAGCUCAUGGGUUCAAGCCCCACAUUGGGCU